GACGAACGCUGGCGGCGUGCUUAACACAUGCAAGUCGAACGGAAAGGCCCCAGCUUGCUGGGGUACUCGAGUGGCGAACGGGUGAGUAACACGUGGGUGAUCUGCCCUGCACUCUGGGAUAAGCCUUGGAAACUGGGUCUAAUACCGGAUAGGACCGUGCUUUAGUGUGUGCGGUGGAAAGUUUUUCGGUGCAGGAUGAGCCCGCGGCCUAUCAGCUUGUUGGUGGGGUAAUGGCCUACCAAGGCGGCGACGGGUAGCCGGCCUGAGAGGGUGUACGGCCACCUUGGGACUGAGACACGGCCCAGACUCCUACGGGAGGCAGCAGUGGGGGAUAUUGCACAAUGGGCGCAAGCCUGAUGCAGCGACGCCGCGUGGGGGAUGACGGCCUUCGGGUUGUAAACCCCUUUCGGCAGGGACGAAGCUUUUGUGACGGUACCUGCAUAAGAAGCACCGGCUAACUACGUG
rnacentral:rRNA from 1 species